rnacentral:rRNA from 1 species
AACGAACGCUGGCGGCAUGCCUAACACAUGCAAGUCGAACGAAACCUUCGGGUCUAGUGGCGCACGGGUGCGUAACGCGUGGGAACCUGCCCUUAGGUUCGGAAUAACUCCCCGAAAGGGGUGCCAAUACCGGAUAAUGUCUUCGGACCAAAGAUUUAUCGCCCUUGGAUGGGCCCGCGUUGGAUUAGCUAGUUGGUAGGGUAAAAGCAUACCAAGGCGACGAUUCAUAGCUGGUUUGAGAGGAUGAUCAGCCACACUGGGACUGAGACACGGCCCAGACUCCUACGGGAGGCAGCAGUGGGGGAUAUUGGACAAUGGGCGAAAGCCUGAUCCAGCAAUGACGCGUGAGUGAUGAAGGCCUUAGGGUUGUAAAGCUCUUUUAACCGGGAUGAUAAUGACAGUACCGGGAGAAUAAGCUCCGGCUAACUCCGUG